UGAAUCCUCCCCCGGAACCCAAUCCAUAUGGCGCCGCCCAGCUCGCUGCCCUCGGCCUCCUCACGCCGCCGCCGCUCGUCCUCCUCGACUUCCCCCGUGUGCGUUCUCCUCUUCCUCUCCUCUGCGCCACGCCGACUUCCGAUCCCGCGCCUCCAACCCUCGUCGAUGCUGCCGGAGCGCCCUUCGGCGGAGAGAAGGCCCAUGGCGACACUGGCCCCCAAUCCCACGCCUCGAGCCCCUGCCUCGUGCACACUGCUGGAGCGCCCUUCAGCGCCGAGGAGGCGCAGCACGACAAGGCCGCCGCCGGCGUCGGUGCUCCCUGGCAUGACACGACCGCCGCCGACGUCCGUUCUCCAAGCACAUCCACUCUGACGACGCCCAGGUCCUCUGUAGUAGUUGUUUGUUCCGUUUGUUGAAGCUUCGGCCAGCCUGCCGUCUGCUGCCAUGUCGAGAGGUUGCAAGGUUCUUGGGUUGUGAGCUCUUCCUUUUCCUUCCUGUCUAAUAGAGCUAUUAGUUGUUAUGUGCAGCUCCAGUAGCUUUUUGGAUGUGUUGACUGCCCGAAUCUUUUUCUUGGAUGCAUUUGUUGCUCGAUCCUGGAUCUGAUUGGAUUCCUUUGGAUGGAUUAGGUGCUCGGUUCUGUUUGGAUCCCUACUAUUUGUUGUUGCUUUGUAGGAGACUAGGCCUCGGGCCUAUAUCCGGGGUAGAUUUUUGUUGCCUUUCUUAAUUUGUCUUGCUUGGAUGCAUUAGGUGCUCGGAUAUUGUUGUUGUUGUGUAGGAGAUUGUUGUGGUCUGUCUAGAUUCCUAUGUUUUUGUUACCUUUUUAAUUUUGUCUAAUGCCUGAUUUGUCCUUAUCAGUGGUGACAAGGGAAGGGAAAGGUUUGGCACUGGCUCGCUAAAUUACUUACCUUGAACAUGAUAAUAAAUAUAAUAUGUUUGUAGUUGUUGGUAAUUAAUUUCACCCAUGUAAUAAUCCAUUUUCCUAAAGCUAAUUGUUUUAUCUUCCAUAUCGUUGGUGUGUGACAGGUUCAGAUGGCAUGGACGAGUACUCAUUUAUUCAUGGAGCUAGCGCAGAUCAUCCUUUUUCGAUAGAGGGAUUUGGGCAUCAAUCCUUGGCCUUGCUCCUGAUUAUGUAUCGGAAGUGGGAGUGCUAAUUAUGCAUUGGAUGUAUACUUUGCCUACGAAGCUUAGUGGAACUGCUCAAAUUUACCUCAAUUAUAGUUACAAGGUUCAUGAAAAAGGCUAUCUCAUUGCAGGGGACAUGUUCAGAAAAAAAAAUGUUGAAGGAUAAACUCUUCAUGCCCCAACUACAACAAGAGGAGAUAGCUCAAGGCUGCCGUGUGUUUUCAGGUUACUGGCGGUUAUUGGCUGCUAGGACCAGUUGUCACUAUUAUCCGGUUGCUAGAGCUAUGCAGCUUGAUGGGUAUAUUGCAUGUUACAAGCCAAUGCCAUGUAGGUGGAUAUGUCGUGUUAGAUGUAAAAUCUAUGAAAGAUGCUUAUGGUAAUAUUUUCUGGCAAGUCCUUCAGUUAGGUCUGAAUCAUGGACUUUUUGUAUCUUCCUUUUGGUUAUUGAUGAUGUUUGCCUCAUUCCCCAAAUUUGACCAAGCUAUUGUUUACAAGCCUCAAUGAGUUGAUUUCCUGUAAGUUAGAUGUACUGAUGAGGUGCUUUUGACGAGGACUGAAACAGUGGUGAUUGUUUUCAAAUGGCAAUAUUUCAAGGUGAAAUUCAGUACAUACAUGGCUCGGAUUUCUUUUGUUCAUGAUGGCCAACUGUAGGUUUUUGUUUUUCCCUGACAACCAUAAAUAUUCUGAGGUAUUUCCCAUGGUUUUCCACCUGCUUUGUGGUUGGAAAGUAUCAUAAUUGAUUGCUUGCCAAGGAAAUGUGUUGCUGAUAUUAGUUAUGACUUGUGUGGUAAAUUAAAUCUGUAAAAUUCAUGUGAAGUUGGCAGUGAAACCUCCCAAAAACUGUAAAGUUGAACAAAUAUAGCAACAUGCGUUCUUUUUAUGGGUAUCAGAGUGUCAUGCGUAGUACAUAUUGUAGAUUAUGGCGUAAACUAGAGAAAUGUGGUGAUGUUUUGAUUAUCGAGGUUGUAUGGUGUAUUAUUAUUUUCGCUAAAACUGCUUCUACUGUGUAGUUCGUCUAAUCAGAUUUGUAGGGACAUAAAAACAUAGAUUGAUAUGCGAUAUUGUACUGAUUACAAAAACAUCAUCAGCAUGGCAGACUGUCAUGCUGAGUUACACCCCCCCCCCCCCCCCACACACACACACACUCUUUUGAUUUAACCCCUGGAAUCCCAUUGUUGUUUGUGUAUAUUAUGUACACUCAUAUUUUUUUAUUUUCAUGUUAGUUGAUAUGUCAUACUGUACUUACUACAAGAAAACAUCAGCAUGGUAGACUGUCAUGAGAAAUAUAAGAUAAAAGAUAGUUUGUUAGUUCUCUCCGAUUGCACAUGGAUAGUUUGAUUUUGAGGUGCACGUGCAGUUUCAGUUAUGAUAUAAUUUUGGUUGAUCGAAGAAUUAGUUCUGACGCACUGGUGGGUGCUCAGUUCAGUUAAAAACAUGAUGUGAUGUUCCCGUUCUCCCUAAACAUUUGCUAAUCCCACUCUCUGUUACAUUUCCUGCUCUUCAAUUUGUGUAGAUUCAAGUUUAUUAUGUAUCAUUAUAUGGGUGUAACUGAAAAUACUUGCACACUUUUUCUUUUUCUCUAAGCAAGGGCCAAGGAGCGACGACCCUACAUACAUCAGUGAUGAUUAAGGAAGAUGACUAUGUAAUACUGAUUCCUCAUUCCCACAUCUUUGCCCUCAUGCUGCAAGCUCUCAAGUUGCCCCCCUGCGACUUACCAUCACAAGACAUAUCCGGGCAAUGAGUCUCGUGUGACGGUUACUUUCAAUUCAUCGUUGCAGUUGAUCGAUGGUUUGCUUGUUCCAACCUCGAUAUAUGGUGUGAUCUCAAAGAACUGUGAUGAAGCAGAAGACAGUGUUGCUAUGGCAGCCAUUAGGUUUAUGGAGGAUGUAUGUGACAAGGAAAUCAGGGGUUAUCACUACAUCCAUGUUAAAAGGCUGGAAAAUAAGGUGACACAUCUGGUAAGGUUGCUGGUUGCAGCAAACAAGACAAUAAAGAAGGAACGCAGACGAUGGUACUAUGCCGUCAGAUACA